rnacentral:rRNA from 1 species
AUGGUGUCGCUGAAGCUGCAGAAGCGCCUGGCCUCGAGCGUCCUCAAGUGCGGCAAGGGCAAGGUCUGGCUCGACCCCAAUGAGGUCAACGAGAUCUCCAUGGCCAACUCCCGGCAGAACAUCCGAAAGCUGGUAAAGGAUGGUUUCAUCAUCAGGAAGCCUCAGAAGAUCCACUCCAGGUCUCGUGCAAGGAGGGCACAUGAGGCCAAGCAGAAGGGCCGUCACUCUGGAUAUGGUAAGCGUAGGGGUACCAGGGAGGCUAGGCUCCCCACCAAGAUCCUGUGGAUGCGGAGGAUGCGCGUCCUGAGGCGCCUUCUGCGCAAGUACCGUGAGGCCAAGAAGAUCGACAAGCACAUGUACCAUGACAUGUACCUGAAGGUCAAGGGUAACAUGUUCAAGAACAAGAGGGUCCUCAUGGAGAGUAUCCACAAGUCCAAGGCUGAGAAGGCAAGAGAGAAGACCCUCUCUGAUCAGUUUGAGGCGAAGCGCGCCAAGAGCAAGGCUAGCAGGGAGAGGAAGCAUGCCAGGAGGGAGGAGAGAUUGGCUCAGGGCCCCAGAGAUCAUGCACCAGCACCAGCGGCUGCAGCUCCAGCUCCGGCAGCAGCGGCACCAAAGAAGGCCAAGGCCAAGAAGUGA